CAGCCGCCGCGGUAAUACCGGCAGCUCAAGUGAUGGCCACUAUUAUUGGGCCUAAAGCGUCCGUAGCCGGCUAGACAGGUCCGUCGGGAAAUCCACUCGCUCAACGAGUGGGCGUCCGGCGGAAACCAGCUAGCUUGGGACCGAGCGACCUGAGGGGUACGUCCGGGGUAGGAGUGAAAUCCCGUAAUCCCGGACGGACCAUCGGUGGCGAAAGCGCCUCAGGAGAGCGGAUCCGACGGUGAGGGACGAAAGCUAGGGUCUCGAACCGGAUUAGAUACCCGGGUAGUCCUAGCCGUAAACGAUGCUCGCUAGGUGUGGCGCUGGCUACGAGCCAGCGCUGUGCCGUAGGGAAGCCGUGAAGCGAGCCGCCUGGGAAGUACGUCCGCAAGGAUGAAACUUAAAGGAAUUGGCGGGGGAGCAC
rnacentral:rRNA from 1 species